GUCUUUCACCCCUGUUGUCCUGCCCAUCUGCCUCCCCACAUCUGCAGUCCAGCUCAAGAACUCAACCUCCUGCUGGGUGACUGGAUGGGGCUAUUCUGGAACACACCAACAUAUGAAGCCAUCUUAUAUCCUGAAGGAGCUAGAAGUGCCCCUUACUGAUCUCCAGACAUGCAGUGACUACUACCAGAAAGCAGACUUGCAUGGAAUCAAGCCCAUCAUCAGUGAAGCCAUGAUCUGCUCCAAAAUCCCAGUGUGGCAGAUGGAUCAGUGUAUAGGCAGCAGAGGAGAUCCCCUGACGUGUAGAGUGGAGGAUUUCUGGGUCCUGGCAGGAGUGGUCAGCUGGGAAUCAAACUGCACCCGAACCAAUGAGCCUGGAAUAUAUACAAACAUCAGUUUCUACAAAUCUUGGAUUGA